rnacentral:rRNA from 1 species
GGGUGCGAUCAUACCAGCACUAAUGCACCGGAUCACAUCAGAACUCCGCAGUUAAGCGUGCUUGAGAUCAUUGUAUUGA